UUCUUAUAUCAUAAUGUUAAUGCACUGGAUCCCAUUAGAACUCCAUAGUUAAUCUCAAUUAGGCUAGAUUUAUACUGGAAUGGGUGAAAUCCCUAGAAGUCCUAGUGUUUCACAUG
rnacentral:rRNA from 1 species